rnacentral:rRNA from 1 species
UCGAGAAUCUUCCGCAAUGGGCGAAAGCCUGACGGAGCGACGCCGCGUGCGAGAUGAAGGCCUUCGGGUUGUAAAUCGCUGUCAGUGGGGAGCAAAUGCAUGGGGGUUCUCCCUCAUGUUUGAGCGAUCCGCAGAGGAAGCACAGGCUAAGUUCGUGCCAGCAGCCGCGGUAACACGAACUGUGCAAACGUUAUUCGGAAUCACUGGGCUUAAAGGGUUCGUAGGCGGCGCGCUAAGUCGGGUGUGAAAGCCCUCGGCUCAACCGAGGAACUGCGUCCGAAACUGGCGUGCUUGAGUGAGAUAGGGGUGAGCGGAACUGAUGGUGGAGCGGUGAAAUGCGUUGAUAUCAUCAGGAACACCGGUGGCGAAAGCGGCUCACUGGGUCUCAACUGACGCUGAGGAACGAAAGCUAGGGUAGCGAACG